UGCUCCCGGUCCACUAAGGUCUCAUGAGCUGUAAGUCUGCUCGCAAGCCAGCCGUCUCCACUUUGGUUAAUAUGGACGCUGCGGGGGAAAAGCCCCCCCAAUGACUACCUGGUCUGGUCCCUCUGCAGCACCUUGUACAUCAACUUCUGCUGCCUGGGCCUCAUAGCCCUCAUCUACUCCAUCAAGCUGGAAUCAGGGUUUCCAGGGCUGCAGUGAAAUCAGUGCUCCCGGUCCACUAAGGUCUCAUGAGCUGCAAGUCUGCUCGCAAGCCAGCCGUCUCCACUUUGGUUAAUAUGGACGCUGCGGGGGAAAAGCCCCCCCAAUGACUACCUGGUCUGGUCCCUCUGCAGCACCUUGUACAUCAACUUCUGCUGCCUGGGCCUCAUAGCCCUCAUCUACUCCAUCAAGCUGGAAUCAGGGUUUCCAGGGCUGCAGUGAAAUCAGUGCUCCCGGUCCACUAAGGUCUCAUGAGCUGCAAGUCUGCUCGCAAGCCAGCCGUCUCCACUUUGGUUAAUAUGGACGCUGCGGGGGAAAAGCCCCCCCAAUGACUACCUGGUCUGGUCCCUCUGCAGCACCUUGUACAUCAACUUCUGCUGCCUGGGCCUCAUAGCCCUCAUCUACUCCAUCAAGAACAGUGCAUGUGUAUACUCAGGGAGGAGCAUCUGCUGUGGCUGCUUCCUCCAAGAUUGAACACAGCUACUUACACCACUCACAUCUACUCACAUACAAACUCAGUUUGAGAACUCAACCUCUCUCAGCUCUUCCGCGCCUCA